ACAAAGGCUCUUUUGAGAGCCACCCACAAUCCACAGAAAUAGCUC
rnacentral:ncRNA from 1 species